GACGAACGCUGGCGGCGUGCCUAAUACAUGCAAGUAGAACGCACAGUUUAUACCGUAGCUUGCUCCACCAUAGACUGUGAGUUGCGAACGGGUGAGUAACGCGUAGGUAACCUGCCUGGUAGCGGGGGAUAACUAUUGGAAACGAUAGCUAAUACCGCAUAAUAUUAAUUAUUGCAUGAUAAUUAAUUGAAAGGUGCAAUUGCACCACUACCAGAUGGACCUGCGUUGUAUUAGCUAGUAGGUGAGGUAACGGCUCACCUAGGCGACGAUACAUAGCCGACCUGAGAGGGUGAUCGGCCACACUGGGACUGAGACACGGCCCAGACUCCUACGGGAGGCAGCAGUAGGGAAUCUUCGGCAAUGGACGAAAGUCUGACCGCGCAACGCCGCGUGAGGGAAGAAGGUUUUCGGAUCGUAAAGCUCUGCUGUAAGAGAAGAACGGGUGUGAGAGUGGAAAGUUCACACUGUGACGGUAACUUACCAGAAAGGGACGGCUAACUACGUG
rnacentral:rRNA from 1 species